UACGUAGGGUCCGAGCGUUGUCCGGAAUUAUUGGGCGUAAAGGGCUCGUAGGCGGUUCGUCACGUCGGGAGUGAAAACUCGGGGCUUAACCCCGAGCCUGCUUCCGAUACGGGCAGACUAGAGGUAGGCAGGGGAGAGCGGAACUUCUGGUGUAGCGGUGGAAUGCGCAGAUAUCAGGAAGAACACCCGUGGCGAAAGCGGCUCUCUGGAACGGUACUGACGCUGAGACGCGAAAGCGUGGGGAGCGAACAGG
rnacentral:rRNA from 1 species